rnacentral:rRNA from 1 species
CCUACGGGUGGCAGCAGUGGGGAAUAUUGGGCAAUGGAGGAAACUCUGACCCAGCAACGCCGCGGGAAUGAUGAAGGUCUGCGGAGUGUAAAGUUCUGUUUUAAGGGAAGAAGAAAGUGACGGUACCUUAGGAAUAAGCCUCGGCUAACUACGUGCCAGCAGCCGCGGUAAUACGUAGGAGGCAAGCGUUAGCCGGAAUGACGGGGCGUACAGGGUGCGUAGGUGGUUUGACAAGUUGGUAGCGUAACUCCGGGGCUCAACCUCGUCACUACUACCAAAACUGUCGGACUUGAGUGCCGGGGGGGCAACUGGAAUUCCUAGUGUAGCGGUGGAAUGCGUAGAUAUUAGGAGGAACACCAGUGGCGAAGGCGAUUUGCUGGACUGUAACUGACACUGAGGCACGAAAGCGUGGGGAGCAAACAGGAUUAGAUACCCCGGUAGUC